rnacentral:rRNA from 1 species
CAUGGCUCAGGAUGAACGCUAGCUACAGGCUUAACACAUGCAAGUCGAGGGGAAACGACAUCGAGAGCUUGCUUUUGAUGGGCGUCGACCGGCGCACAGGUGAGUAACGCGUAUCCAACCUGCCCACCACUUGGGGAUAACCUUGCGAAAGUAAGACUAAUACCCAACGAUAUCUCUAGAAGACAUCUGAAAGAGAUUAAAGAUUUAUCGGUGAUGGAUGGGGAUGCGUCUGAUUAGCUCGUUGGCGGGGUAACGGCCCACCAAGGCAACGAUCAGUAGGGGUUCUGAGAGGAAGGUCCCCCACAUUGGAACUGAGACACGGUCCAAACUCCUACGGGAGGCAGCAGUGAGGAAUAUUGGUCAAUGGACGAGAGUCUGAACCAGCCAAGUAGCGUGCAGGAUGACGGCCCUAUGGGUUGUAAACUGCUUUUAUAGGGAAUAAAGUGAGUCUCGUGAGACUUUUUGCAUGUACCUUAUGAAUAAGGACCGGCUAAUUCCGUGCCAGCAGCCGCGGUAAUACGGAAGGUCCGGGCGUUAUCCGGAUUUAUUGGGUUUAAAGGGAGCGUAGGCCGGAGAUUAAGCGUGUUGUGAAAUGUAGACGCUCAACGUCUGCACUGCAGCGCGAACUGGUUUCCUUGAGUACGCACAAAGUGGGCGGAAUUCGUGGUGUAGCGGUGAAAUGCUUAGAUAUCACGAAGAACUCCGAUUGCGAGGGCAGCUCACUGGAGCGCAACUGACGCCGAAGCUCGAAAGUGCGGGUAUCGAACAGGAUUAGAUACCCUGGUAGUCCGCACGGUAAACGAUGGAUGCCCGCUGUUGGUCUGAAUAGGUCAGCGGCCAAGCGAAAGCAUUAAGCAUCCCACCUGGGGAGUACGCCGGCAACGGAACAACUCAAAGGAAUUGACGGA